AACACACUGUCAAAUCAAGAAAUAGUUUGGGGGUUAGGCAGUUCAUGAAAGCUAGAUGACCUACUAUGUGGGGAAUAAAUCUGUGGGUUGCUGCAGACAAUCCUAAUGGUUAUAUUGCGACUUUGAAAUUUAUACAGGAAGAAGUCCAGAUAUUCAUCGCAACACAUUUGGGUAUGACGUGGUGAUCUGAUAUCAGUUUGGUUACAGUCUUAGGUCUUUUGUAGUACAAUAUAAAGGAAAUAUUUUCACCACAUAAUCCAAUUAUGUGCUUUGGCAAACAUUACUGCCUUGGAAAACAUUACUGUUUUAUAACUACUAAUUAUGAUGAUGCCAGCCCAACAACACUUGGUCAUGCUAUUUGCAAAUAUUUUCAUGUUCUAGAUUGUGAAAACAAUCAAUUUCUAAACAAAUGAGUAGUGAUUAUUUCAAAUUUGAAUAGCAUGACCCAAUUUUGAGGCUGGUUAUGCCACUAAUAACUAAAGUCAAUGGUGUAAUGAUUAUCUAAGAAUGUAUGUAGUAAUUGUAGAAAUAAAG